UCCUGUUAACACAAGGUUAAGGAAUAUACAUUUGCUCAAAAUAAAGUUCCAAGUUUAAAGCAAUCAGGUCGAACAAAGUCUUCUCGUAGCAAACGAAACUGAACAUCAAGAUAGUCAUCAACACUGGAAGGUAAAGCAAAAGAAAUGGUUUGCUUGUCAUUCUGAUGUCCUCUGGAGUAGGAAAGACAGAUAUAGAUCUAAAAUUAUCUGGAGGUAGUCUGUCAUCAUUUGGACUAUAUCUGCCUUCCUUUCGAUCUUCUGUGAAGUUACUGCAUAUAGAAAAUAGAGAUCAAGACACAAAGACAUCAGGUGCAAGCAACAUGAUACUUGUCUGGCUACUUUUUCGGGAUCGGGUGGGC